rnacentral:sRNA from 1 species
CUGGUGGCUGUUUUGCUAUGCAGUGGAUGCUUAUCUGGUGAUCCGGAGAUCGGCAGGACUGAGCACCAUCCUGCUGUAUCACAUCAUGGCGUGGGGCCUGGCCACCCUGCUCUGUGUGGAGGGAGCCGCCAUGCUCUACUACCCUUCCGUGUCCAGAGGGAGAUGUGGCCGCUGGAACUGUCUCAGGCAUUUCCUCAAGUUUACAUUCCUGUCCAUGCAACCCUCAGUUGCAAAGCCAAGGUCUUUCCAAGGAUAUAUACUCUAACUUCCAAUGGAAAACUGGAAAACAGAAGUGGACAGUGUCUUUGUCUGUGAUUUUUAUACCAGGGAUCAACACAGUGUAGCCCUCAGGACAAAUCCGGCGUUCUUCCGUUUUUGUAAAUAAAGUUUUAUUGGA